rnacentral:tRNA from 2 species
CGGGGUGUAGCGCAGCUUGGUAGCGCAUCUGGUUCGGGACUAGAGGGUCGCAGGUUCAAAUCCUGUCACCCCGACCA